UAGGAGCACCGCAGGAAGCGACCCAAACAACAGGGAAUAGGGACAGUGCCUCGGAGAGGCAAUGCCAUUACGGAUGAUCAGGAUCUAUUCUGCAAAACCCCGCCUCGGCGGGGUUUU
rnacentral:sRNA from 1 species